rnacentral:rRNA from 1 species
AACGAACGCUGGCGGCAGGCCUAACACAUGCAAGUCGAGCGCCCCGCAAGGGGAGCGGCGGACGGGUGAGUAACACGUGGGAACGUACCCUUUGCUACGGAAUAGUCUCGGGAAACUGGGGGUAAUACCGUAUGUGCCCUUCGGGGGAAAGAUUUAUCGGCAAAGGAUCGGCCCGCGUUGGAUUAGGUAGUUGGUGGGGUAAUGGCCUACCAAGCCGACGAUCCAUAGCUGGUUUGAGAGGAUGAUCAGCCACACUGGGACUGAGACACGGCCCAGACUCCUACGGGAGGCAGCAGUGGGGAAUCUUAGACAAUGGGCGCAAGCCUGAUCUAGCCAUGCCGCGUGAGCGAUGAAGGCCUUAGGGUUGUAAAGCUCUUUCAGUGGGGAAGAUAAUGACUGUACCCACAGAAGAAGCCCCGGCUAACUCCGUGCCAGCAGCCGCGG